rnacentral:pre_miRNA from 1 species
CAUGUGCAAAACUUAGGGGGCAGUUUUGUAGUCUUUUUUCUUUGAGGGCCAAAAUCGCAACUUUGGAAAAGUUAGGGGGCUAAAACUGCUAUCAAGCCUUAUUUUUAAACAAUUCUCAUCGAUUCGGCUUUCAUCUAUUUAUUUUAGGCUUAAUUGCACUUUUUGCCCACUAUCUUUCCAAAAGUUGCGAUUUUGGCCCUCUACCUAAUUAAAAUACAAAACAGCCUCCUAUGUAUUGGUGUAAC